rnacentral:rRNA from 1 species
UCCGGAUAACGCCUUGCCACCUUACGGUAUUAACCGGCGGCUGCUGCGACGAUAGUCAGCCGGUGGCUUUUCUGGUUAGGUACCGUCAAGGUGCCAGCUUAUUUCAAACUAGCACUUGUCUCUUCCCUAACAACAGGAGGUUACGACGACCCGAAAAGCCUUUCAUUCCACUCACACGCGGCGGUUGCUCCGGCCAGA